rnacentral:lncRNA from 12 species
GGGCAAAGUGACUUUUGGAAGGCUCUGCAGGGUGACUCAGCAGCUUGGCUCCGGUUACGUGACCCAGAAUCCACUUGGCACAAAACCUGCCUCUUCUCCUGCUGCUCCACUGCUCUGCCUGCUGCAGCACAGCUUGUCCUCACCCCACUCACCCCGACCCUCCUCUGGGGCUCUGCUCCACCUUCCUUUCUGCAGCCACUUGGCCAGGGUUUUUCCCUUUCAGCUCCUCCAGGUAUCAUUGAUCCAGAUACCAUCUGGAUUGCAGACGAGUCACCCAAAUGAAAAUUAAGCUUGGCAUUCCUGUGCUUCCCGAGUACAAGCUGGCUUUUCAGCACGUUUACAGGCACACUCCCACAGUGAGCUCAGCGGUGACAGGCAACUACACACAGAAGCAGCAGCCCCUUGGUGGAGAAUGGUGCUUGUAAACCAGCAAUGAGGCCAUCCCCUGCUGUGGAGGACUGAGCA